UUGAAGAGUUUGAUCAUGGCUCAGAUUGAACGCUGGCGGCAGGCCUAACACAUGCAAGUCGAGCGGUAGCACAGAGAGCUUGCUCUCGGGUGACGAGCGGCGGACGGGUGAGUAAUGUCUGGGAAACUGCCUGAUGGAGGGGGAUAACUACUGGAAACGGUAGCUAAUACCGCAUAACGUCGCAAGACCAAAGAGGGGGACCUUCGGGCCUCUUGCCAUCAGAUGUGCCCAGAUGGGAUUAGCUAGUAGGUGGGGUAACGGCUCACCUAGGCGACGAUCCCUAGCUGGUCUGAGAGGAUGACCAGCCACACUGGAACUGAGACACGGUCCAGACUCCUACGGGAGGCAGCAGUGGGGAAUAUUGCACAAUGGGCGCAAGCCUGAUGCAGCCAUGCCGCGUGUAUGAAGAAGGCCUUCGGGUUGUAAAGUACUUUCAGCGGGGAGGAAGGCGAUAAGGUUAAUAACCUUGUCGAUUGACGUUACCCGCAGAAGAAGCACCGGCUAACUCCGUGCCAGCAGCCGCGGUAAUACGGAGGGUGCAAGCGUUAAUCGGAAUUACUGGGCGUAAAGCGCACGCAGGCGGUCUGUCAAGUCGGAUGUGAAAUCCCCGGGCUCAACCUGGGAACUGCAUUCGAAACUGGCAGGCUAGAGUCUUGUAGAGGGGGUAGAAUUCCAGGUGUAGCGGUGAAAUGCGUAGAGAUCUGGAGGAAUACCGGUGGCGAAGGCGGCCCCCUGGACAAAGACUGACGCUCAGGUGCGAAAGCGUGGGGAGCAAACAGGAUUAGAUACCCUGGUAGUCCACGCCGUAAACGAUGUCGACUUGGAGGUUGUGCCCUUGAGGCGUGGCUUCCGGAGCUAACGCGUUAAGUCGACCGCCUGGGGAGUACGGCCGCAAGGUUAAAACUCAAAUGAAUUGACGGGGGCCCGCACAAGCGGUGGAGCAUGUGGUUUAAUUCGAUGCAACGCGAAGAACCUUACCUACUCUUGACAUCCAGAGAACUUUCCAGAGAUGGAUUGGUGCCUUCGGGAACUCUGAGACAGGUGCUGCAUGGCUGUCGUCAGCUCGUGUUGUGAAAUGUUGGGUUAAGUCCCGCAACGAGCGCAACCCUUAUCCUUUGUUGCCAGCGGUCCGGCCGGGAACUCAAAGGAGACUGCCAGUGAUAAACUGGAGGAAGGUGGGGAUGACGUCAAGUCAUCAUGGCCCUUACGAGUAGGGCUACACACGUGCUACAAUGGCGCAUACAAAGAGAAGCGACCUCGCGAGAGCAAGCGGACCUCAUAAAGUGCGUCGUAGUCCGGAUUGGAGUCUGCAACUCGACUCCAUGAAGUCGGAAUCGCUAGUAAUCGUAGAUCAGAAUGCUACGGUGAAUACGUUCCCGGGCCUUGUACACACCGCCCGUCACACCAUGGGAGUGGGUUGCAAAAGAAGUAGGUAGCUUAACCUUCGGGAGGGCGCUUACCACUUUGUGAUUCAUGACUGGGGUGAAGUCGUAACAAGGUAACCGUAGGGGAACCUGCGGUUGGAUCACCUCCUU
rnacentral:rRNA from 1 species